GAUGAACGCUGGCGGCGUGCCUAAUACAUGCAAGUCGAACGGAAAGACCCGGCGUUUGUUGGUUUCUCGAUUGCGGAACGCGGGAGUAACACGUGAGUAACCCCCCCUUGUCUGUCUGAUAACUUCAGGGAACUGCGGCUAAUACCGGGUAUAAUCUCCUGCACCAUGUUGGUCGUUGGAAAAUGUCGGCUGUUGGGGCUGGACUCGCUGCUUAUCAGCUUGUUAGUGGGGUAGUUGCGUACCAAGGCUUUGACGGGUAGCCGGCCUUAGAGGGUUAACGGCGACAUUGGGACUGAGAUAGGGAGCAGAAUGGUACGGGCCGCAGCAGUGGAGAACAUUGCACAGCGGGCGGACGCGUGAUGCAGAAACGCCGCGUGCGGGAUGCCGGCUUUUGAGUUGUAAACAGAUUUCGAAUGUGCUGAAGAGUGCGUGACGGUAAUGGGUAAAGAAGCCACGGCUAACUACGUG
rnacentral:rRNA from 1 species